AGUAGAAUGGCUGAGGUGAAAGGUGAAAGAUUGUAAAUCUUUUAAGGAGUUAAUUUUGAAACUCUUCUACUA
rnacentral:tRNA from 1 species